GAUGAAGAACGCAGCGAAAUGCGAUAAGUAAUGUGAAUUGCAGAAUUCAGUGAAUCAUCGAAUCUUUGAACGCACAUUGCGCCCGCCAGUAUUCUGGCGGGCAUGCCUGUUCGAGCGUCAUUUCAACCAUCAAGCCCCAGGCUUGUGUUGGGGACCUGCGGCUGCCGCAGGCCCUGAAAACCAGUGGCGGGCUCGCUGUCACACCGGGCGUAGUAGAUUUUAUCUCGCUCAGGGCGUGCUGCGGGUUCCGGCCGUUAAAAGCCUUUUUUACCCAAGGUUGACAUCGGAUCAGGUAGGAAUACCCGCUGAACUUAAGCAUAUCAAUAAGCGGAGGA
rnacentral:misc_RNA from 1 species